UACCUCGGCUCAAAUUCAGCUUGAAAUUAAUUUCGAGCCUAAAUCACUACAACAAAAACGGUCUAUAGCGAUACUUUUAAAUGUAGGUACAUGUCAAAAAAGUGCUGCUAGCUAAAAUUACCGACACUUUUAAAAAGUGUUGCUAUAUGUGGGGUCGCUAGGUAUAUAGUGACAGUUAAAGAGUGUCGCUAUAACCUAAAAGAGUGCUGCUAAUUUACCAACACUUAUUUAAGCAUUUAGCAACCGCCGAAACUCUAUCGCGUUGGCUGCAGUAGCGGAUGAGGACGACAGAAAAGGUUCUUCGUCUAGAAUUUCAGUGGAUUAAGUGAAGAGAGAAGAAAAGAUGGUAAUUGAUUUUUUUUUUUUNUAGAAGUAGGCUAACUACAAGUCUUUCGUCUAUUAGAUUUUUGGCACUUGGAUAAAGAGAUGUGCGGUUAGGAUGAUAAUGCUCUCCGGUUAGGAUGAUAGUGGCCCCUAAGAUUAAGUGGGUGGUUGGUUGAAUAGUAUGAUCUAACAUGUGAAAAUAAUCAAAAAGGUAGAUCUAAUAGUGGAAAACUUGAUAGCACCAAGCGCUUGGAAUUAUCGAUUGUAUAGUAGCUGGACUCUCUCUAUAUAUAUAGUCCGACUAAACUACUUUCAGAAGCACAGCUCAUGUGGUGCUUUUAAUUUUUUGAAUCUUUGGAUCAAUCUUUUUGAUCAUUUCUAGCCCUUGGAUUGAUACUAUUACCCUAGGGGAACCAACUAUCAUUCCAACCAGACAAUUCUUGAUCUAAGAGUCAAAAAAUCAGAAACACCAACGUCUUUAUACUUCUGAAAGCAUAGUAGUGCUACACACACACACACACACACACACACACACACACACACAUAUAUAUAUAUAUGUGUGUGUGUGUGUGUGUGUGUGUGCACGCGCGCAGAAGUAGGCUACUAUACUAUUAAUAACUCUAAGUCAUUGGUCUAUUAGGUUUUUGGCCAUUGGAUAAAGGAAUGUACGGUUAGGAUGAUAGUGGUCUCAUAGGGUUGAGUGGGUGGUUGGUUGAAUAGUGUAAUUUAACAAGUAAAAAUUGUCGAAGGGGUAGAUCUAAGGAUGAAAAAUGUGGUAGCACCAAGUGUUUGGUACUAUGGAUAGCACAGUAGCCAAACUUUCUCUGUCUAUAUAUAGUACUGUUAAAGGAAUAGUAUUUAGUACCUAUUUUGUAGUCCAUGGAUGCCUUGGGUUUAGUAGAGGGUAGGUGGAAUAAUAUUGAUCCAAGGGCUAAAAAAUAGAUUGUAAAUACUAUUUCUUUACUAUCAAUAGUAUAGCGUGAUAUAUAUAUAUAUAUAUAUAUCUCUCUCUCUCUCUCUCUCUCUCUCUCUCUCGAUCCGAUGAUAUGUUAGAUAUCAUAGCUCGAGACCAUGAUAUUACAACCAAAAGCUAGAAUCCCGCAAGUUUAGUUGCUAAGUGUGGCAAUUUUAACUAGAUCCCAUAAAUUUUAAAGAUCUUUAUUUUAAAAUAUAAAAAAGCUGUAUCAAAUAAAAUACUAGUUUGAUAAAGUUUGAACAGUUAAAAGUUACCGAUAAUACUGCUCAAACCUCAAAUUGCCACAUUUUCUUAGAUUUAAAGAAGUUUAAAACUAUCUUUUAUGAAAAUUGAUAUAUCUAAUUCCAAUUGUAAGAACUAGAACUUAAAUUUUCAGGAUAUGAAUUUAAAAUUUCUAAUAAGUUAAAGGUAGCAGGUAAAACUAUAUUAAAUAAAUGAUUCAUUUGCUAUAGCUUUUUUUGAUUUUAAAAUAAGGAUUUUUUAAGUAUAUGGGAUUUAGUAUAAAUUGCCACACCUAGCAACUAAACUUGUGGGAUUCUAGCUUUUGUUUGUGAUAUCAUGGCCCCGAGCUAUGAUAUCUAUCAUAUCAUCGGAUUAAGAUAUAUAUAUAUAUAUAUAUAUAUAUAUAUAUAUAUCUUAAUCCGACCUCAUGAUAAUUAUCAUUUUGCGAGAAAAAUGAUAGUUCAAAAAUUGGGAACCUACUUUUUAACAUCCCAGCCCUACUAUAAUCAGCCAAUCUUAACUCAUCAGAGGGAUCCCAACUCGCCAGUGGUGACCUAAUAUCAUAAAUUAGGUUACCAAUCUUUAUUAUUUUUCUCAACUAGGUUUUCUAUUUUUUGACCAUCGUUGUUACUCUAAAACGAUAAUUAUCAUCGGGUCAGAGAGAGAGAGAGAGAGAGAGAGAGAGAGAGAGAGAGAGAGAGAGAGAGAGAGAGAGAGAGAUAUAUAUAUAUAUAUAUAUAUAUAUAUAAGAACUACUAUGCUAUCAAAAAUAUAGAGGAUUUGAUGUUUUUGAAUUUUUGACCCUUUGAUUAGAAAUUAUAUGGUUGGGAUGAUUGCGGUCUCCCCUAGGAUUAAAUAAUACUCUUAGGAUUGAGUGAUCCCUACAAGGUAAUAAUAAUAUUAAUCCAAAGAUAAGAAACAAUUAAAGGGAUUGAUAUAAGAAUCAAAAAAUCGAAAGCACCAGAUUUCUAUACUUUCGAUAGCAUAGUAGCUUUACUAUAUAUAUAUGUAUAUUCAAGCUUUUCGAGCUUUUCGAGCCUAAUUCGAACGAGCCGAGUAAUACUCAAGCUCGACUUGAAAUAAAUUUCGAGCCUUUUUUUUUUUUUCAAACUUGGCUCAUUUAAUUUCGAGUCGAGCUCGAGCGAGCCAAAUAUCGAGUCGAACGCGAGCCGACUUGCUCAUUUGCCAGCCCUACUAUCAAUAGUAUACUAGCUCAACUUUCUCUCUCUGUAUAUAUUUAUAUUUAUACUUCUUUCAAUUAAAUAUAUGCGUGCACUAGAUGCAAAACCAAUUAAGCAAAUAGUAAAUGCGCUUUAAAUGUCUAUAGAUGCAUGCUUAAUUUGACUUUCUGAUUGGAAUAUACUCCUCCCUUUUUUCAGUUCGAGUACUAUGACUGCUAGUAUAGUGUACGUAGUUUGCACCCCUAUUUAUAGCUUUUCAUGUUUAUGUUUGCUUCGUGGGCUCUAAUAAAAGUUUAAGAAAGAAAUGUUCCAUUAGUACACAAAAAAAAAAGAGUGCAAUAGGAUUGAGUCCCACUGAUGUAUUUUUAUGAGAACGAUCAUUCAUAUAUACUUAUAAACGCGUUUUCGAUAAUAGAGCUUUUGAAUGAAAUGAUCUAUACCGCUAAAUAUAAUUUAGAGUAUUUAAAUAUUCUAGAAAUUAAAUUUUAUAAUUUAGAACAUUUUUUUUGCAUAUUAUUUUGCCAUAAAAUCAUUAUAUGAGAAAUGCUAGGUCUACUUAAACCCUCUCCCUAGGGUUUAAACAACGAGCAAACAAUCCUCUUUGGGUCGUAGACUUAGCAUUUCUCUUUUGUGUUUGUUAGAAUUAAAACCGAGAAGAUCUAGUUCGUCGGAUGCGAAAAUACCAAAAGAGAUCUGAGAAAGAGAGAAGAAAAAUAAAGCACACAAUAUUUACUUGGUUCGGCCACUGGCCUACGUCCACGGACGAAGACGGAGCGAAAAUCUUUAUUAUAAUCAAAGUGGUGUACAAAAUAUGCCUCUCUCACAAAACCCUAAUCCCAAAAAAUACACCUAUAUUUCCUCUCUCAUCUUCCGCACUAAAUCAAUAGCAAAAAUGGUAUAUUUAUAAUAGUGGCUAAAUCCUAAUACGAUUAGGAAUACAAACCCACUAAGAUUAGGAAUAUCUCAAUAAAAUUAGGCAUAAUCUAAACUUAACUUAAUGGGAUAAUUAAAACAGAAUAGAGUUAGAAGACCAUGCGGUACUAGAAUUCGGGACAUAUUUAACAGUGUUUUAGUUUUUUUUUUUUUCAGAAAAAAAGUAAUAAGACUAGCGGAGAAAUUAAAGCUGGCCCUAAGAUACGUACAACUCCCUUUUAGGUACAGGGCCAGCACAACUAUUAUUAUUAUAUAUAUAGUUCUUAAUUAGACUCUUAAUUAUGUGAUAUAUAAUAGAUUUGAUCUCUACUAUAUCCUUUGAUUAUUACCACUUUUGCUCAAAUUAUUUCUUUGAUCAACUUCAAAAUAAUGAACUCAAGUGGUACAAACAAGUACUGGACCUCAUGAAGCAAAGAAACUCAAUGAUGUUUCCUACUCUAAAUUAAUUUAGCUCUUUUGAUUCUAAGCUUGUUUUAUACUAUAUGCUAGCUAGCUACUGUUUCUUUUAUUAUUUUUGCUCUUUUUAAAAACAUUACUCACUAUUUUUCUAAACACAAAAUGACAGAAUAAUUAAGGAAAAAUUUGAAGAGAGCUAUAUAUCAAAUUGAGACAUGCAAAGCAAAACAUGAAAAAGGAAGUGCAACUUUUUAAUUUCUUAAAGGUUUAAAUUAAUUUAUUUUUUCCAGAAAAAAAUUCCACUAACUGAUCAAUUACCAAUAGUUUUAAUUAUCUUUCCCUUCUUUCCCAACCAUAAAGAUGGUCCCUUUUAUCUCUCUCAAAAAAAAAAAAAGAGAUGGUCCCUUUGCUUUUUUUACAGUUUUUUUUGUGUAUGUAUACUACUAAUUAUUAAAAUAAUAAUCCAAUACUGUGCCCACUGCAUUAAUAUAUGUACUCCCAAUGCAUAAAAAACUCAACACAAGAGCACCUAAAACAAGACAAUUAUUAAAGGACUUAUAUAAAUAGUACAAAAAGAUAAAGCCACAAAUCAAAGGAUAUGAGGGUGUUACUGUGUUACACCCAAAUGAGUGCACAAAGCUUUUCUAUUAAAUAAGCUAAAACAUGUGGAGCUUAUCUCAACUAUGAGUUAUUCUAUGAGUUAUUUUGAUUGGUUCAGUUACAAACUCUUUCAAAAUUUUGAUUUUUUACUAUCUAAUUUUUUAAUUUGUUGGAUUCGAGUCGAUCAACAAUAUUUAUAUAUAUAUAUAUAUAUAUAUAUAUAUAUAUAUAUAUAUAUAUAAACAAACACACCAUUAAAGCUCCAGUUUCUUACACAAUUUAUAAGUGCCUUUCACUACGUUUGGUGGGUGAGAACUAUUCUGGCUCUUCUACUGCAGUGGGAGGACCCCCGGCUACUGCAGUGUAAAUUUCCAUUUUUAUCAUAAUAUUAUUUGAUAAAAAUAGAAUCGAUACGUUUUAAAAUUUUAAAAAUAAAAUAAAUUAAACUCAGUCAGUCAUUAAGAAACGGAAGUUUUAAAUUCAAUUAAUAAAUAAAACUAUUUAUAUAUCAGUGCUGUUAACGUGCUUUAUAUGAUUGAUUCGGAAAUUCUAUUUGCUCCGUAAAGUUUAAGAUUUCAGUUNAGUUACAUUUAUUGCCAUGAAUAAAAAGUUCAAAAUAAUAAUAAUAAUAAGAUAAUGAUAAUAAGAUAAUGAUAAUAAUAUUAAUUAUCAGGAUUUUUUAUGUUAAUCAAUAGAUUCAAUAAUUUGGCUACUAAUUUACGGACUUUAUUCGAUCGAUCAAAUUCAAUAAAUCUGAUUAAUUAAUGCCAUUAUUUUUUGCAACUAAUUAAUAAUCAUUAUGUCACGCUAUUAGUUUUUUUAAAAAAAGUUAUUUUUGGAAUGGUUCUCAUGGUUGACGAAGCAAUUAAUAUAUCUAGGAAUUCCUAGCAUAUCGGAGUCACGAUCUAUCUCAGGUUGUAAUUUAGAUCCCUUAUGGAGGGAUUUAUAAUUUUUUUAACUUGCUAAUGCAUGCUUAGUUACUUACCAACAAGAAGUUAUUAAAGGUACUCUACUCCAUGAGUAGUACAAAUUAGGAUUAGAAAAGGAAAAAAGAAACAAAUUAACAAGUGAGAUAUGUACAAUAAGUAGGUUUUAUGAAUAUUUCUUCUUCUUCUUCUUCUUCUUCUUCUUCUUCUUUUCUCUCUCGCAAAGGUCGACGGCAUUAGUAUAUUGCAGAAGUAGCUUUUCGACGCAUGGAAAGAUCGUCGUAGUUGGGAGUCUAGCGAUAAGAACCAAUAACUUUUAACUUAAUAAAGAAACCACAUUUCAAACAGUAAAGUUAGGUAAUAAUCAGCCAAACCCCGCAUCGGGACAGAUAGACAUCUGAAUAUAUAAAGAAGAAACAUUUUGUAAUUAAUCCACUUGCUUCUUAUAGAUAUAUAUAAGAAAGUGCUAUAUUUGAAAAGAUAUUUUUUUUUCCCUCAACUUUAAGAGGUAUUAGAAAAUGGAAGGUAAAAAAAAUAAAAUAGAAUGAUUUUGAAUUUAGAAAAGUAAUGCCUUUGGGUUUUGAAGCUGACCUUUGACUAAAUUACUCAACAACAAUAAACUUAUUAAUCUUAAUUACUCAACACAACACAUAAGUAUGUGUUCAUAUAUAUGUAUGUAUAUAUAUAUGUAUAUAUUUAUGAGAAGUGUUUUCAAUAUAUUUCAGUUGAAAACUUCAAAUUCAUCAUAUUUAUUGUUGUUAUUACUGAUUCUUAUGUACUGCAUAUUGUUGCCGCAAAUCCAUUGUGUAAAUAGGAUUUUUUUUUUUUUUCCCUUAGAAAAGAUAAUAUAUAUUACUGUUUUUUAUAUAAAUGUAUACUCAAUAUAUAUAAUGUCUCCUAAUAACACCGAGGAACUGUAUCAUUAAUUCCUAGGAUUAAAUUUAAUUAGAAAGGAUUAAAUUUAAUUGUUUCGAAUGUUGGCUUAAUUACAAAGGAUAAAUCUUCUAUUAAAGAUGUUAAAGAAGUUAUUUUUUACAAGUCAUUAUUGAGAACCAAAAUGGAGGAGAAAGUUUGCCAGAUGAUCGAUCGAUCGAUCGCUCCGUUAGUUUCAAAAAUAUUGGUACAGUUCGUCGAUGACGUACAAUCGAUGGAGAAGAUAGAAGAUCGAGUACGGAGUUUUUCUUUUUUAAUUUCUACGAUUAAUAAUUAAUUUGCUACAGCUAAUAAAUGAUGAAGCUAAUUAAUUGAUGGUUAUUUUUAAAGUAUGUCAAAGGACUGUAUUAGCUGUUCAAAAAUAUAGCUAAUAAUGUACUAUCAUGUACAGAUUAAUGAUGUACGGCGCUCUAUCUGAGUUCGCUGAACCCUUUUCUUCAUUGCACCUAGAUUGCCAUCACCAUAAAUUUGUUGGCUUAAAGAGGUCAGCAUUUUGCCCUGUGGCGGGAGGCCGGAUUGAACCGAGUUAUAUUCGAAAUGGCAGAAGAUCGGGUUGGACUAAGUCAUGUUCGAAGUGGCAUCGAGACCCGUGGAUGCUGUGUUUGUAUAUUUAAAUGAAUUGGUUGCAUAUUUCUAACAAUUCGAGCUUUGGAAUGAAUGAUCAGUGCCAACGAUCCGAUAAAAUUGACUUGUCUAGCAAUUGUUUAGUUAGCAAAGACGACUUGGCAUCUUCAGUAGUAGUAAAAAAGUUUCAGAGGAUUUGUCUGAAGUGCUUCUUUGAGAAGCUAGAGCUAGCCAAUAACAUUAUUAGUAUGUAUAAGACCUUAAUUUGGAGAUAACAUUUUCAAUAAAAUGUUAUUUGGUAGCCUCAGUAACUUUGUGUUUGGAAAUGUUUCAGAUCAUUAACUCUUUGAAAAUCUGCAUACACUCUCCAUUUCGAUUCAAGUACUAAGUCAUUGGUGAGAUAGGCGAAACAAAAAUCAUGCUUAAAAUUUGUACAUUUUAACAUCCAAUUUGACUUUGUCGGAUCAUUGGCGCUAACCAUUAAUCCAAUUUGACCGUUUUUUUUGUAAUAUUUCAAAAUCUAUCCAAAAAUGCUCAAAUUUUCACCGUGCAAGAAAUUGCACCAAGUGCUGAUAAAGUUGUGUGGAUUCGUUGUAGAUUCUCAGCUAGUAGAAAUAUAUAGUCUAUCAAUAAGAAUAUACAACUUCGUGACAAUCUCUCGAAGUAAGUGGUAUUGUUAAUAGUUAGUUGGUAAUAAACUUAUGAUUUCAAAUAUGAAAUUUUCAACAUUUUCUAAAUACUAUGGAACUGGUAAAACAAAUGACGUGGUUCAAACUUAAGAUCUUCUACUCUGAUAUUACAUUAAUAAUGCAAAACAACCGUUUUCUCUAAGAAUUUAAACUAAAAGAGAAUGACGUUUUUACAUUUUAAUGUAACGAGGAGGCUAUUUAAGAAGUGUUUAGGAAAUUUUUCAAGUUUUGAGGAAUAUUCUUAAAAUUGCCUUUUUUUUGUUAAAUCAAAGAGAAUGUAUGUAGCAGGUUGACUCUCUCUCUCAAAAGGAAAAAAAAAAAAUUAUAUAUUCUACAAUGUGGGAAAUAAUUAAUUUAAAUACACAAUCACUACAACAAAAACGGUCUAUAGCGAUACUUUUAAAUGUAGGUACAUGUCAAAAAAGUGCUGCUAGCUAAAAUUACCGACACUUUUAAAAAGUGUUGCUAUAUGUGGGGUCGCUAGGUAUAUAGUGACAGUUAAAGAGUGUCGUUAUAACCUAAAAAAGUGCUGCUAAUUUACUAACACUUAUUUAAGCAUUUAGCAACCACCGAAACUCUAUCUCGUUGGCUGCGGUGGCGGAGGAGGACGACAGGAAAGGCUCUUCGUCUAGAAUUUCAGUGGAUUGAGUGAAGAGAGAAGAAAAGAUGGCAAUUGAUUUUUCUUUUUUUUUUCUUUUCUGUUUGUAAUUGGGCCAAAUGGACUGGGUGUGGUGGGUUGAGCAGAGUAAUCUUUUAUUUUUGGUUGGAUUGAGCUUUAUAUUUAGGCAUUAGUAGAUAUUUUUUUAAGUUUUAUCAUAAAUGAGACACUUACUCAAAAGUGUCCCAAACAUGUGUUCCUAUAACCUAAUUCUGUUGUAGUGAAUCUAAUCUAA
rnacentral:lncRNA from 1 species